CUGAUGUUGGCCAAGAUCCCUUUCCAUGGAUGCACAAACAUCAGACCAUCAUUACGAGCAGCCAAAGUAUCACGCCUCUGAGGAUAUCUUGGAGCACCAUGGCUGAGACCACUCUGUUGGACAGGUUCUUCCCCCUCUUUACCACCAGCAGUGAGGCAAGCUCUCUUGGAAGGGUAUGUACUGUCUUGGUUGCUCAAAGAGGAGUUAGGAGAAAACAUCUGUCUUUCUUCACCACUUGGUACAGGAUCAUCUUCUCCUGAGACAGACAUAGGUUCAGCUUCAGCGAUACGUUGUGAACUGGAUUUGACAAGGCUGCUAUUCACUUCCCCUGCAGCAGAACUUGAUGAGCCUGCUGUUAUCCAGCUUCCGGUUAACACCUCUGUAGGAAGAGAAGAGACAUCUGAUGAUGGUCUUUCCAGAGGGCGGAGAUACUUCUUCAUGUAUCUCUCAAGUGCUAGAUGUCUAGCGCCAUCCUUAGUGCGGGAACUACCGCUGAUGUUGUAAGCAUGGCGGAGCAAGUCGUCAAAGUUGUAGUCACGCUUGCGGUGAAAGUAGCAGAAGGGACACCUGAAGAGAGAGUCAGAGAUCUUGACCUUGCGAGUGCCGUCUUUCAUUUCAGAGUAGUAUCUGUACUCCAAAUCAUCCAGCUCUCUUCUUGAAUACAUCUCAACCUGCAACCACAAAGAAGCAAAGGAACUUGGUAUAAAUACAUAAUCACUGAACCUUAUACCUGAAAUUCACAGAAACUCAAAUCCAAACGACAUUUUCGUUGCCCGAAAGAGAAGAUCAUGAAAAAGUUGACCUUUUUACUCUUCUACAAAGAUCAGAGUAGAAACAUCAUAAAGACGCGAACUUUAGUGAGACUGAGCUACAGAACACACAAAACCCGUUCAGAACCUGAGAUUCACUAACCCAGUUACAGAAACUUACUAAAAGUUGACAUCUUUGGAAAGAUCAGAGUAAGAAACAACCCAGGAGAUCAUAAAGACACCAACUUUAGUGGGACUGAGCUACAGAACACAAAACCCUAACUCAAUUCCAACGACAUUUCGCUAACUAAAAGAAGAUGAGAAAAAGUUGAGGUCUUUACUCUUCUACAGAGCUUAAAACACGAAGAAAGAGAGACCCAUCACUCUAGACUCGUAAAGCAAACGAAACGAAAUGAAACCCAUUCGAAAAUUUCAGGAAAAUAAAAACACAAAAUUUUGCAAAUGUCUGUAGAUACAAGUGAGCUGUAAAGGGAAAAAGUUGCGAAACCUUUGGAGAGCGAAGAGAAGGGCGACGAGUCUCCUUGUAGGAGCAGGUGGGUAGGGACUAGGGAGAGACGCACGUGAGCUUGUUGUUGGAGUGGAGAGGACGACAAGUGAAAGACGAAAAUAUGGAGAGUAGCAAACUAAUGCUAAUCCUUUAGCGCGUGCAAUAAGAAUGGUCUUCGUUGACCAAUCCGAACCAGAAUAAACCAAUUCGAAAUUAAACAGCUUUUAUUUAGUCUGAACUUUCUAUCAACAGACUCGGAUUCGAUAAAGACCAAUCCAAGUAAUCAGAUUUAGUGAAAACCGAUUAAAACCCAACUUGGAAAUUUGAUUGCUCAGGACUGUGUUUUUUUCUUUUUUAAAUGGUACCUUGUGGAUUCCGUCUAUUUGGAUGACCUUAAUCGGAUGCCAAGCCGAGUCUCUCAAGUGGUUGUCCCACAAGGAACAGAGCGUUGCUGCUUCAACAUCAGCUUCUUCAGCUGGAUAUCUCUCUUUAGCUAGUUUCUGGAACGGUUUCUCAUCCAAUGCUCCCAUUCUCUUCACAGAUAUCUGACCACGUAAUGUCAACUCUUGCAUUGACUGCACAAAGCUUAACCAUGGUUAGUAUCAUAACAUCAAAUGGAGAGAGGGAAGAGGGAGAGGGAGAGACUGUUGCUUACUCUGAUCAAAGCCUUGCGAGCAUCCUGAAGCUCAUCGUUAGUGUAGCCAUGUUUAACAACAAGAGCUUGAUAGAGUGACUCUUGGUAUUCAGACUCCUCCUCUUUCUCCUUGAGUUUUUCUUUAGUCUUUUCUAUCUCUUCCUUCAUAUCAGGAUCUUCCAUGUGUCCCAUCACCUGCAGCCCACCCCUCAUUCUCUCUAUCUCCAGCUCCCGUGCCAGCUCAUCAUCCAGUUUCUUCUCCAGCUUUUUGACUCUCUCACGUAACUCAUCUUUCUCCCUCUGUAAAACAACACAUCCAGCAAAUCAAAACAGACACUGCAACUUCAACAUUAUCCAUGCAAUAAAAGAUACCUGUUGCUGUUUAGCCAAUCUCGUCAUUUCUUCAUCAGCUUUGUUUUGCUCUUCGGUAGCCAUUAAGUUCUGACAAACAAAUUAAAAGAUUUCAUCACAAAUCAUUGCGCAAACUUUUAACAAAAAAAAAGGAUUUGUACAAAGGAUGUUGAACAUUACCUUCUGUUUUUGCCAUUGAAGCUUUCGUCGCUCAGUUUUGUUCAGCGAUUGACAUUUAUCAAGAUAUCUCUCCCUCUCUUCAAACUCUUUCCUUUGAGCUUCCAGAUGCUGAGCUGCCUUCUCAUGUUCAUUUUUCACACUCGCCAAAUAAUCACGCGCCUUUUGCUGCAUGCUACUCAUCUCUAAACAUUGACAAAGUUAAAACAAAUUAAGCUUCAGAAUACUAAUUUAAUUUCAUCAGUAAGUUAGAGAGAAAAAAAACAUUACUUUCAUUAUGAGCGUUGAUCAUUUCAUCCUUCUCUUUCAUACUCCUCUGAAGCUCUGUACUGGUUUCUUUGUACUUGCUCUCUAUCUCCUCAAGGUUAGUGCUUUUGGUCUCUAGUGUGUUUUCCAAGUUAGAGACAAGCGUGAACGCCCUUCUUUGCUGCUCUGCCUCUUUUCCAGAAACAGUCACCAAGUCCCCUUGCUUCCUGAGGUGGUCUCCAACUACAGUUCUCGAGUAGUAGUCCUCCCUUUUCGCUAUCCAACCGUAAAGCUCUUCGCCACGAUCGCGUGCAUAAUCAUAGUCUCUCUUCCCACACUGAUUGACUUCAAAGUGCUUCUCAAACAUGGUGGCGUUUCUGUAAGCUUCCCAGUCUUUGCCGAAGUAAACAAUCGCAAAACCUGUGAAACCAACUCUGCCGUUCCACAGCGGCUCCACUUUGUGGGGGUUAAACCCUUUGCUAACAAACUCUUCCCUAAUUUUGCUUCCACUCUCGCCAGCGAACUUGCCUGUUUUGUCAUUAUAAAUUCUACUGAUGUUGGCCAAGAUCCCUUUCCAUGGAUGCACAAACAUCAGACCAUCAUUACGAGCAGCCAAAGUAUCACGCCUCUGAGGAUAUCUUGGAGCACCAUGGCUGAGACCACUCUGUUGGACAGGUUCUUCCCCCUCUUUACCACCAGCAGUGAGGCAAGCUCUCUUGGAAGGGUAUGUACUGUCUUGGUUGCUCAAAGAGGAGUUAGGAGAAAACAUCUGUCUU
rnacentral:lncRNA from 1 species